GGAGACAGGUGCUGCAUGGCUGUCGUCAGCUCGUGUCGUGAGAUGUUGGGUUAAGUCCCGCAACGAGCGCAACCCUUGCCUUUAGUUGCCAGCAGUUCGGCUGGGCACUCUAAAGGGACUGCCGGUGUUAAACCGGAGGAAGGUGGGGAUGACGUCAAGUCCUCAUGGCCUUUAUGACCAGGGCUACACACGUACUACAAUGGCCGAUACAAAGGGCAGCGACACUGCGAGGUGAAGCCAAUCCCGUAAAAUCGGUCUCAGUCCGGAUUGGAGUCUGCAACUCGACUCCAUGAAGUUGGAAUCGCUAGUAAUCGUGGAUCAGCAUGUCACGGUGAAUACGUUCCCGGGCCUU
rnacentral:rRNA from 1 species